rnacentral:rRNA from 1 species
AGUGAACGCUGGCGGUAGGCCUAACACAUGCAAGUCGAACGGCAGCACAGUAAGAGCUUGCUCUUACGGGUGGCGAGUGGCGGACGGGUGAGGAAUACAUCGGAAUCUACUUUUUCGUGGGGGAUAACGUAGGGAAACUUACGCUAAUACCGCAUACGACCUACGGGUGAAAGCAGGGGAUCUUCGGACCUUGCGCGAUUGAAUGAGCCGAUGUCGGAUUAGCUAGUUGGCGGGGUAAAGGCCCACCAAGGCGACGAUGCGUAGCUGGUCUGAGAGGAUGAUCGGCCACACUGGAACUGAGACACGGUCCAGACUCCUACGGGAGGCAGCAGUAGGGAAUAUUGGGCAAUGGGCGAAAGCCUGAACGAGCAAUACCGCGUGAGUGAUGAAGGUCUUCGGAUAGUAAAACUCUGUUGUUAGGGAAGAAAAAAAGCGGAUGUAAAUAUGCAUGUCGUGACGGUACCUAAACAAAAAGCAACGGCUAACUACGUG